UACAGAGGGUGCAAGCGUUAAUCGGAAUUACUGGGCGUAAAGCGUGCGCAGGCGGCUUUGCAAGACAGAUGUGAAAUCCCCGGGCUCAACCUGGGAACUGCAUUUGUGACUGCAUGGCUGGAGUGCGGCAGAGGGGGAUGGAAUUCCGCGUGUAGCAGUGAAAUGCGUAGAUAUGCGGAGGAACACCGAUGGCGAAGGCAAUCCCCUGGGCCUGCACUGACGCUCAUGCACGGAAGCGUGGGGAGCAAACAGG
rnacentral:rRNA from 1 species